GAAAUGCGAUAAGUAAUGUGAAUUGCAGAAUUCAGUGAAUCAUCGAAUCUUUGAACGCACCUUGCGCUCCUUGGUAUUCCUUGGAGCAUGCCUGUUUGAGUAUCAUGAAAUCUUCAAAGUAAAUCUUUUGUUAACUCAAUUGGUUUCUACUUUGGUAUUGGAGGUCUUUGCAGCUUCACACCUGCUCCUCUUUGUUCAUAGCUGGAUCUCAGUGUUAUGCUUGGUUCCACUCGGCGUGAUAAGUUAUCUAUCGCUGAGGACACUGUAAAAGGUGGCCAAGGUAAAUGCAGAUGAUCCGCUUCUAAUAGUCCAUUGACUUGGACAAUACUUUUAUGAUCUGAUCUCAAAUCAGGUAGGACUACCCGCUGAACUUAAGC
rnacentral:misc_RNA from 1 species